AGCUACAUGGGUCACAAAUCGGA
rnacentral:siRNA from 1 species